GACGAACGCUGGCGGCGUGCCUAAUACAUGCAAGUCGAACGAGAGCGACCGGUGCUUGCACUGGUCAAUCUAGUGGCGAACGGGUGAGUAACACGUGGGUAACCUGCCCAUCAGAGGGGGAUAACAUUCGGAAACGGAUGCUAAAACCGCAUAGGUCUUCGAACCGCAUGGUUUGAAGAGGAAAAGAGGCGCAAGCUUCUGCUGAUGGAUGGACCCGCGGUGCAUUAGCUAGUUGGUGAGGUAACGGCUCACCAAGGCCGUGAUGCAUAGCCGACCUGAGAGGGUGAUCGGCCACAUUGGGACUGAGACACGGCCCAAACUCCUACGGGAGGCAGCAGUAGGGAAUCUUCCGCAAUGGACGCAAGUCUGACGGAGCAACGCCGCGUGAGUGAAGAAGGUUUUCGGAUCGUAAAACUCUGUUGUUAGAGAAGAACAAGUGCUAGAGUAACUGUUAGCGCC
rnacentral:rRNA from 1 species